rnacentral:rRNA from 1 species
AAUAUUGCACAAUGGGGGAAACCCUGAUGCAGCAACGCCGCGUGAAGGAAGAAGGCCUNCGGGUUNUNAACUUCUUUGAUAGGGGNAGAUAAUGACGGUACCCUAAGAACAAGCCACGGCUAACUACGUGCCAGCAGCCGCGGUAAUACGUAGGUGGCAAGCGUUGUCCGGAAUUACUGGGUGUAAAGGGCGUGUAGACGGGAUAGCAAGUCAGGUGUGAAAUUCCCAGGCUUAACCUGGGCGCUGCAUCUGAAACUGUAAUUCUUGAGUGUCGGAGAGGAAAGCGGAAUUCCUAGUGUAGCGGUGAAAUGCGUAGAUAUUAGGAGGAACACCAGUGGCGAAGGCGGCUUUCUGGACGAUAACUGACGUUGAGGCGCGAAAGCGUGGGGAGCAAACAGG